CUGUCCUGACUUCCUCCAAGG
rnacentral:misc_RNA from 1 species